CUGUGGUAAGAGGGCCUCUGUGUGAUACUCCCCUGCAUAAUUUCAAAAAAGAUAAAAAAAGCCUAGGUCUUGGAAAAUAUGAGGAAAGAUGCUCUCUCGGCCUUACCACACCACUACGCUGCUUUCUUCUCUGCCGUCUGUGAUUGGCUUCCACUGGGGAGUUCCUCUUUCGUCUCUGGGGCUCAGGCCCACUUCCGGUUUCUGACCGCUAGCCAGUCAUGCCGUCUCUGACGCAGCUCUCACUAACUCCUCCAGGGCCUGCACAGAUGUGGUGUCUGUCCCCAGCAAGUGCUUCUCCAGAGAGCAUGUAGGAAGCUGUGUGGCCUGGCGGGGCCAGGGCUCAUGAUCAGUCCAAAGACUGAGGCUUCAUCUCAGUGCUCCCCAAGUCAUCUGGGACCACCUGCCUCCUCGCUCCUGUGUCUUCCCUUUCUUUGGGGGUUACUAGCUUGAACAAAUUAGCCAGACGAUAGCUGUAGUGGAAGAAAAACUUGAUGUUCCUCAAAUUGACAGCUUUCCAAUUUCCCGUGUCUCCUUGAGAGGCUGCCUCACUUGACAAGAGCAUUUCCAAGUCCUCUCAGUGUUGUGGGUAGUCUCCUGGGAGCUUGUGGUGCCAUGGCAUCUAAACACAGACCCAUUUCUGCCCUUACAGAGCCAAAGCUGGUGAAUGGCAGAACCAACAUUCUACAUGCCUGGAGCUCACAGAGUAGCCCGGAUGGAUCGCAGUGCAUUAGAAUGGCAAGGAAACAUACUCAAUGGCUCCUUGGUGAAUAGUUACCUAGUUUCUGAAAUCCCUACUCAGUCUGGGAAAAGGUUUCUCAUCAGAGGACAGAUGACCCAAGAUGGACUUACUGAAGUACUGGGAUGCACAUUCCUUGGCAGAUACGCUGGGAAUCUGGAGAUCUUGGUGGCUCUGUGUUUGGUUGUACAGAGAUGCUGAUACUAUCUUUGUGGGAAUGGAAUCGUCCAUGUGAGAACACAGUGUGGACAGGAUGCUGCCUCUGGAGAGCUUGGGGACACUCUGCCCAGGGUUCCUUCUUCUGAGUGGGAUCAGGAGUAGAAAGCCGUCCCUCCUCCUGGGAACGAGAUGGAAUAAAACCUGACUCUCUGA